rnacentral:rRNA from 1 species
UCGUCUAUAUACGUAUAGCAUAUCAAUAAGCGGAGGAAAAGAAACUAACAAGGAUUCCCCUAGCAACGGCGAGUGAAGCGGGAAGAGCUCAAAUUUGAAAUCUUAAAGGGUUUCCCUUUACGAAUUGUAGUUUAAAGAAGUGUUUUCUGUUGGAGUUUCGGUAAAAGUUCUUUGGAAUAGGACAUCAUAGAGGGUGAGAAUCCCGUAUUUGACCGUUACUUUCCAGCUGUGUGAUACACUUUCAAAGAGUCGGAUUGUUUGGGAAUGCAGACCAAGAUGGGUGGUAAAUUUCAUCUAAAGCUAAAUAUUGGCGAGAGACCGAUAGCGAACAAGUACCGUGAGGGAAAGAUGAAAAGAACUUUGAAAAGAGAGUUAAACAGUACGUGAAAUUGUCAAAAGGGAAGCGUUUGACACCAGUGUUGUUUUUCCGAAAAUCAAUUACGAAUGUUUUGUUUUUAAGAAGUUAUGACUUCAUCGGCUUGCUUCUUUCUUUACGAAACUUUCUUAAUGCACUUUUCGGUUAACAAGUCAACAUCAAUUUCUUUUGUUGUAAAAGGGUAUGAGGAAGGUGGCUUUCUUUUCGGAGAAAGUGUUUAUAGCCUUGUACCUCUGCAAUCGGAGAGAUUGAGGUCUGCAGCGUAGAUCCUUCGGGGUUAGAUACAUUUGUGCUAAGUUAUAGCUUUUCAUAGACAACUUGUUGACUAUGUUAAGUCUUGUAGCUUACUCGCUUAUGCUAUUUUACCUACGCUUAGGAUGUUGAUAGUCACAGCGUGUAC